CAGCAGCCACGGUAAUACGAAGGGGGCUAGCGUUGUUCGGAAUUACUGGGCGUAAAGCGCACGUAGGCGGACAUUUAAGUCAGGGGUGAAAUCCCGGGGCUCAACCCCGGAACUGCCUUUGAUACUGGGUGUCUUGAGUGUGGAAGAGGUCAGUGGAAUUGCGAGUGUAGAGGUGAAAUUCGUAGAUAUUCGCAGGAACACCAGUGGCGAAGGCGGCUGACUGGUCCACAACUGACGCUGAGGUGCGAAAGCGUGGGGAGCAAACAGGAUUAGAUACCCCCGUAGUCCCUGUCUCUUAUAC
rnacentral:rRNA from 1 species